rnacentral:rRNA from 1 species
CCUAACACAUGCAAGUCGAGCGGAUGAAGGGAGCUUGCUCNCUGAUUCAGCGGCGGACGGGUGAGUAAUGCCUAGGAAUCUGCCUGGUAGUGGGGGACAACGUUUCGAAAGGAACGCUAAUACCGCAUACGUCCUACGGGAGAAAGCAGGGGACCUUCGGGCCUUGCGCUAUCAGAUGAGCCUAGGUCGGAUUAGCUAGUUGGUGAGGUAAUGGCUCACCAAGGCGACGAUCCGUAACUGGUCUGAGAGGAUGAUCAGUCACACUGGAACUGAGACACGGUCCAGACUCCUACGGGAGGCAGCAGUGGGGAAUAUUGGACAAUGGGCGAAAGCCUGAUCCAGCCAUGCCGCGUGUGUGAAGAAGGUCUUCGGAUUGUAAAGCACUUUAAGUUGGGAGGAAGGGUUGUAGAUUAAUACUCUGCAAUUUUGACGUUACCGACAGAAUAAGCACCCGACUAACUCUGUGCCAGCAGCCGCGGUAAUACAGAGGGUGCAAGCGU